rnacentral:rRNA from 1 species
AUUGAACGCUGGCGGCAUGCCUUACACAUGCAAGUCGAACGGCAGCACGGGUGCUUGCACCUGGUGGCGAGUGGCGAACGGGUGAGUAAUACAUCGGAACGUACCUUAUCGUGGGGGAUAACGCAGCGAAAGCUGUUCUAAUACCGCAUACGCCCUGAGGGGGAAAGCGGGGGAUCGCAAGACCUCGCGCGAUGAGAGCGGCCGAUGCCUGAUUAGCUUGUUGGUGGGGUAAAAGCCCACCAAGGCGACGAUCAGUAGCUAGUCUGAGAGGACGAUCAGCCACACUGGGACUGAGACACGGCCCAGACUCCUACGGGAGGCAGCAGCGGGGAAUUUUGGACAAUGGGGGCAACCCUGAUCCAGCAAUGCCGCGUGAGUGAAGAAGGCCUUCGGGUUGUAAAGCUCUUUUGUCAGGGAAGAAACACCGGCUCUAACACAGUCCGGGAAUGACGGUACCUGAAGAAUAAGCACCGGCUAACUACGUGCCAGCAGCCGCAGUAA